CUAGAAGAGUAAAAAGUACAGUUAUUGUAGAAAAUUUCGACAAUUCGUUGACACAGAAGAAAAAUAUAAAAAAAGUAAAAUACUAAUGAAUACUUUCAUAUCAUCGUAUUUUCGAUAAGUGUCUUUUUAAUUUACCAAUAACAAAUACUCAGAGAUAAACAACAAAUAAAAUGCUAUAUUUAUUUGCAGAGGCAUCAUAAGAAAAAGCGAAAAACUAUGAAAAGCCUGAGACGCAUUGACAUCUUAGCGCAGCCUAAAUCUAUAAAACAUAAAGUAGAACAUAAGAAUCAUUUUUCUACAGUAAGCAAAUCUGCUCAAAAGCAUCAAAUUCCAAAAAGGUCUAUUUCAUCAGAUCACAAAAGUGCCAUUUACCAACGUAAAACAUUCAGAAUAAAAAAGUUUAAAGGUACACGUGAGUUGCCAAUGAACUCGACGUUGAAGGAUUGUUCGACAAUUAUAUUACCUAAGAAGCUAGGUGUCCGAUUGUUUGCUUUAGUAAAAAAGAAACUUAAAGAAUUAACAAAUUCUAACAAUACGUAAGAAAGACUGAUCGAAGACGAAAAGACUGCAAAGUCGUGCAAUAUAUCAGUAAGAAAAAUUUUAAAUGAAAUGAGAAAAUAAUUGACGUAACUAUAAUGUACUAUAAAACAACUUUAUUCAAUGUGUACAAAAAUAUUAAUGGACGGCGUAAGGUACAUGUACGGUUACACUGCAAAUAUACUUAAAUAACAGUUAAAUAUCAUUUUAUACUUAUCUAAAAUGUCGAGAAAUGGACGGAUUAUACAAUAAUCUUUAGUCGAGAACUAUAUGUUACAUUACCACAUCCAUUCAUUUAACUAUGAAUCGGUAUGUAAAAUACGAAAAAUAUGAUUAAUUUUGUGAACACAUCUCAUACAAAGAUUAAAAAACUAGUAAAUAUAGCUAGAUGUAUUUUCUAAAAGUUUUUUUUAUCUAAUGUACAUAUAUUCAUCUGUUAAAAGAAAUUUACCUUAUUUACCUACUAAGUAUGUAAGCAAAUAUAAUCAUAGCUAUCGUAGCUAUUAUCGAAUGCUCUAUAGCUGAUGCACCGGCAUUACAAUCUACAAUUCUUCUAGCUCUCAUAAAGUCUGGACCUAAAUACGCACUAAACUCUCUUUUUUCUGGUGGUAUUACUACUAACUGCUGUGUAGCGUCCUGGAAAAUCAAAUCGCUAUAAGGCGGCUGACUGUAAAACAUACUAAAACUAAAUUCGUCCUGUUCUUUUCUGCCAUAAAAUUGUUGGGCGUAAAUAAACAAGUUUAUGUAAGCGUUUAUUUGUGUCUCGUUAUAUCCAUAAUAUCCACCACGUGUAACUAUUGCAUUCGCUGCCACUUUUCCUAAAUUGCAAUGUAUGUAAUCGGUUGUUGGUCGACGAGUGCCGUCUGGGCAAAGCAAUUCGAAAUCUUUAGUGAAAGUAUUACGUGCCCACGUUUCUCGUCGUUUUCCAUCUGUAUUUUCUGCGACUGUUGUGUGCUUCA
rnacentral:misc_RNA from 1 species